AGAGUUUGAUCAUGGCUCAGAACGAACGCUGGCGGCGUGGAUAAGACAUGCAAGUCGAGCGCUGAUUACAGGGUAGCAAUAUCUUGUAGUUGGAGCGGCGCAAGGGUGCGUAACACGUGGGUAAUCUGCCAUGAAGUAUGGGAUAACUCGCUGAAAGGCGAGCUAAUACCGUAUGUGAAAAUUGGAAGGCAUCUUUUGAUUUUCAAAGCUGGGGACCGUAAGGCCUGGCGCUUCAUGAUGAGCCCGCGGCCUAUCAGCUAGUUGGUGAGGUAACGGCUCACCAAGGCUAAGACGGGUAGCUGGUCUGAGAGGACGACCAGCCACACUGGAACUGAGACACGGUCCAGACACCUACGGGUGGCAGCAGUCGAGAAUUUUUCACAAUGGGGGAAACCUUGAUGGAGCGACGCCGCGUGGGGGAUGAAUGGCUUCGGCCCGUAAACCCCUGUCAUUCGCGAACAAAUUGGUUCACUUAAUACCUGAACCAUUGAUAGUAGCGGAAGAGGAAGGGACGGCUAACUCUGUGCCAGCAGCCGCGGUAAUACAGAGGUCCCAAGCGUUGUUCGGAUUCACUGGGCGUAAAGGGUGCGUAGGCGGUCGGGUAAGUCUGAUGUGAAAUCUCACAGCUUAACUGUGAAACUGCAUUGGAUACUAUUCGGCUUGAGAGUUGGAGGGGGGACUGGAAUUCUUGGUGUAGCAGUGAAAUGCGUAGAUAUCAAGAGGAACACCAGUGGCGAAGGCGAGUCCCUGGACAACUUCUGACGCUGAGGCACGAAAGCUAGGGGAGCAAACAGGAUUAGAUACCCUCGUAGUCC
rnacentral:rRNA from 1 species